GGGUUGUGAGGUUAAGCGACUAAGCGUACACGGUGGAUGCCCUGGCAGUCAGAGGCGAUGAAGGGCGUGCUAAUCUGCGAUAAGCGCCGGUAAGGUGAUAUGAACCGUUAUAACCGGCGAUACCCGAAUGGGGAAACCCAGUGUGAUUCGUCACACUAUCAUUACGUGAAUACAUAGCGUAAUGAAGCGAACCGGGGGAACUGAAACAUCUAAGUACCCCGAGGAAAAGAAAUCAACCGAGAUUCCCCCAGUAGCGGCGAGCGAACGGGGAGGAGCCCAGAGCCUGAAUCAGCAUGUGUGUUAGUGGAAGCGUCUGGAAAGGCGCGCGAUACAGGGUGACAGCCCCGUACACAAAAGCGCAUGUGUUGUGAGCUCGAUGAGUAGGGCGGGACACGUGGUAUCCUGUCUGAAUAUGGGGGGACCAUCCUCCAAGGCUAAAUACUCCUGACUGACCGAUAGUGAACCAGUACCGUGAGGGAAAGGCGAAAAGAACCCCGGCGAGGGGAGUGAAAAAGAACCUGAAACCGUGUACGUACAAGCAGUGGGAGCACCCUUUGGGGUGUGACUGCGUACCUUUUGUAUAAUGGGUCAGCGACUUAUAUUCUGUAGCAAGGUUAACCGAAUAGGGGAGCCGGAGGGAAACCGAGUCUUAAUUGGGCGUUAAGUUGCAGGGUAUAGACCCGAAACCCGGUGAUCUAGCCAUGGGCAGGUUGAAGGUUGGGUAACACUAACUGGAGGACCGAACCGACUAAUGUUGAAAAAUUAGCGGAUGACCUGUGGCUGGGGGUGAAAGGCCAAUCAAACCGGGAGAUAGCUGGUUCUCCCCGAAAGCUAUUUAGGUAGCGCCUCGUGAAUUCAUCUCCGGGGGUAGAGCACUGUUUCGGCUAGGGGGCCAUCCCGGCUUACCAACCCGAUGCAAACUGCGAAUACCGGAGAAUGUUAUCACGGGAGACACACGGCGGGUGCUAACGUCCGUCGUGAAGAGGGAAACAACCCAGACCGCCAGCUAAGGUCCCAAAGUCAUGGUUAAGUGGGAAACGAUGUGGGAAGGCCCAGACAGCCAGGAUGUUGGCUUAGAAGCAGCCAUCAUUUAAAGAAAGCGUAAUAGCUCACUGGUCGAGUCGGCCUGCGCGGAAGAUGUAACGGGGCUAAACCAUGCACCGAAGCUGCGGCAGCGACACUGUGUGUUGUUGGGUAGGGGAGCGUUCUGUAAGCCUGUGAAGGUGUGUCGUGAGGCAUGCUGGAGGUAUCAGAAGUGCGAAUGCUGACAUAAGUAACGAUAAAGCGGGUGAAAAGCCCGCUCGCCGGAAGACCAAGGGUUCCUGUCCAACGUUAAUCGGGGCAGGGUGAGUCGACCCCUAAGGCGAGGCCGAAAGGCGUAGUCGAUGGGAAACGGGUUAAUAUUCCCGUACUUGGUGUUACUGCGAAGGGGGGACGGAGAAGGCUAUGUUGGCCGGGCGACGGUUGUCCCGGUUUAAGCGUGUAGGUGUGUGUUCCAGGUAAAUCCGGUUCACUUUAACACUGAGGCGUGACGACGAGGCACUACGGUGCUGAAGCAACAAAUGCCCUGCUUCCAGGAAAAGCCUCUAAGCAUCAGGUAACAUCAAAUCGUACCCCAAACCGACACAGGUGGUCAGGUAGAGAAUACCAAGGCGCUUGAGAGAACUCGGGUGAAGGAACUAGGCAAAAUGGUGCCGUAACUUCGGGAGAAGGCACGCUGACACGUAGGUGAAGUGAUUUACUCAUGGAGCUGAAGUCAGUCGAAGAUACCAGCUGGCUGCAACUGUUUAUUAAAAACACAGCACUGUGCAAACACGAAAGUGGACGUAUACGGUGUGACGCCUGCCCGGUGCCGGAAGGUUAAUUGAUGGGGUCAGCGCAAGCGAAGCUCCUGAUCGAAGCCCCGGUAAACGGCGGCCGUAACUAUAACGGUCCUAAGGUAGCGAAAUUCCUUGUCGGGUAAGUUCCGACCUGCACGAAUGGCGUAAUGAUGGCCAGGCUGUCUCCACCCGAGACUCAGUGAAAUUGAACUCGCUGUGAAGAUGCAGUGUACCCGCGGCAAGACGGAAAGACCCCGUGAACCUUUACUAUAGCUUGACACUGAACAUUGAGCCUUGAUGUGUAGGAUAGGUGGGAGGCUUUGAAGUGUGGACGCCAGUCUGCAUGGAGCCGACCUUGAAAUACCACCCUUUAAUGUUUGAUGUUCUAACGUGGACCCGUGAUCCGGGUUGCGGACAGUGUCUGGUGGGUAGUUUGACUGGGGCGGUCUCCUCCUAAAGAGUAACGGAGGAGCACGAAGGUUGGCUAAUCCUGGUCGGACAUCAGGAGGUUAGUGCAAUGGCAUAAGCCAGCUUGACUGCGAGCGUGACGGCGCGAGCAGGUGCGAAAGCAGGUCAUAGUGAUCCGGUGGUUCUGAAUGGAAGGGCCAUCGCUCAACGGAUAAAAGGUACUCCGGGGAUAACAGGCUGAUACCGCCCAAGAGUUCAUAUCGACGGCGGUGUUUGGCACCUCGAUGUCGGCUCAUCACAUCCUGGGGCUGAAGUAGGUCCCAAGGGUAUGGCUGUUCGCCAUUUAAAGUGGUACGCGAGCUGGGUUUAGAACGUCGUGAGACAGUUCGGUCCCUAUCUGCCGUGGGCGCUGGAGAACUGAGGGGGGCUGCUCCUAGUACGAGAGGACCGGAGUGGACGCAUCACUGGUGUUCGGGUUGUCAUGCCAAUGGCACUGCCCGGUAGCUAAAUGCGGAAGAGAUAAGUGCUGAAAGCAUCUAAGCACGAAACUUGCCCCGAGAUGAGUUCUCCCUGAGACUUAGAGUCUCCUGAAGGAACGUUGAAGACGACGACGUUGAUAGGCCGGGUGUGUAAGCGCAGCGAUGCGUUGAGCUAACCGGUACUAAUGAACCGUGAGGCUUAACCUUACAACGCCGAAG
rnacentral:rRNA from 1 species